GAACGCACAUUGCGCCCGCCAGCAUUCUGGCGGGCAUGCCUGUUCGAGCGUCAUUUCAACCCUCGAGCCCCCCCGGGGGCCUCGGUGUUGGGGGACGGCACACCAGCCGCCCCCGAAAUGCAGUGGCGACCUCGCCGCAGCCUCCCCUGCGUAGUAGCACACACCUCGCACCGGAGCGCGGAGACGGUCACGCCGUAAAACGCCCAACUUCUUAGAGUUGACCUCGGAUCAGGUAGGAAUACCCGCUGAACUUAAG
rnacentral:misc_RNA from 1 species